GUGGCGAACGGGUGAGUAACACGUAGGGAACCUGCCCCUAAGACGAGGAUAACUACUGGAAACGGUAGCUAAUACUGGAUAGGAUAAGUUGACGCAUGUUGGCUUAUUUAAAGGUGCCUAUAAAGCACCGCUUAGGGAUGGCCCUGCGGCGCAUUAGCUAGUUGGUGGGGUAACGGCCUACCAAGGCGACGAUGCGUAGCUGUGCUGAGAGGCAGAACAGCCACACUGGGACUGAGACACGGCCCAGACUCCUACGGGAGGCAGCAGUAGGGAAUUUUCGGCAAUGGGGGGAACCCUGACCGAGCGAUGCCGCGUGAGUGAUGAAGGUCUUCGGACUGUAAAACUCUGUUAUUAGGGAAGAAUACUACAGGGAGGAAAUGCCUUAUAGAUGACGGUACCUAAUGAGGAAGCCCCGGCCAACUAUGUGCCAGCAGCCGCGGUAAUACAUAGGGGGCGAGCGUUAUCCGGAAUUACUGGGCGUAAAGGGUGCGUAGGCGGUUUCUUAAGUCUAGUGUGAAAGCCCACG
rnacentral:rRNA from 1 species